ensembl:lncRNA
CUGAGCUACUGGGCAACAACAAACCAGGGCACAGGGGUGGAUGGUCAGCAGGAAGGUCGGGCCUUCCAGCCUGAGUCAUCAUCUCUUCCUGCUGGCAUCACAGGAACACAGAAAUAUCCUGUUUGGUCCUUGCUGUUUAUCACCCUCAUACCCUCUGCAAGGUUUCAGGAACCUACUAAUUUUCGUAUAUCUGGGCACAAGUCCGGAAUCUGUCCUCCAGAGUUAUCACUGAGGGAAAAGGAUGGAGAAUAAAAUUUAAACAGC